GCAAGAAUGCCCCUUCACACAAUGGCAGCUUUCCUAGUGAGGAAGAGGUGCUUAUUCUCAGUAUGGGUACAAUUGAUGGAAUCCAAGACAGCGGCAAAACACAAAUAAACACAACUGAUGGCAGUUGAACAGGAAGCUACAUGGAACAGUUAAUAGGAGCAGUACAUUGAGUACUGAGGUGUGAAACAUGGAUUUUUGGAGGUAAUGGAGCAACAACAGAAUCUUACAUGGAGAUUUGAG